UAGAGGUGCCUGGGGAUUCCUGCUCUUCUCUUUUUUCUGGGCCAGAGUUAUAAAAGAGGGUGUUGCAACAGGGAGAAGCAGAACCAGAGGAGCAGCAACUCAAGCUACUAUUACAAAGUACAUGCAGAUGAUUUCCAUCCUGUUUGCUCAGGAAUAUACACUGCUUCCUAAAUUUCUUUCCUGCUCUGUUGUCCUUUCUUUUCAACGAAAUGAUGCAUUUUUCAUUACUGCAGAAUGUACUAGAAAAGCAUCCACUCCCCUGUUGCAAAGCAACACAUCUGGAUCUCCCUAGUAAGCAUUCUGCUCCCAUGGGUAGAGACCACUCCCCAGCUGAAGAA